rnacentral:lncRNA from 1 species
CACAACUCUUCACGCAAACCAGAGUAGUAGACGUUACACUCCCCUACUCUUUAGGCCCGGGCCUUCGGAAAGCUGCCAAUUCGCAGCAAGACAAGUUCAGCUGUACCAAGUGUGCAUUAAGGUUGCCCAGGAGCCGGCCUCAAGUGACCCAGGCUAGGGUUCGAGGCUUCGGGAAGGAAAGGAGUCAGAGGACAGCUCGAGAAAACCACGCGCCCGGACCCGCAGAUUCCCCAGACAACUUCCUCCCUUCUUCCCGGGCCUGAGGCGCCACUACCGCUUCUGCACGGUGCACGUCACCUGUACAAAACUUGAAGAGCUGGGCCUUCUGCCUAACCUCUGGGGUGUUAUGGUCUCCUGCCUGCAGUGACCGCAGCUCCUGUAUCUGUCUCAUUAGGUGUGUCUUUCGCUGCAAGAACUGCAAGUGUGCCUGGUGGUCCUUCCGAGCCGUCUCAGCUUUCACAUCCUCCAGUUCCUUCUCUAACAUCUGGAUUUUCAUCUCCUGGCUCUUCUGUAUGGAGGAAAUGUGCUCCAUUGACUGAAACUGCUGCUCCAACUGGGACUGCUUGAUUUUUCCCUGGAAGAGUUGUGUUUGAAGCUCCUCAGUUUGCUUGGCGAACCUGAGUGUCAGUUCUUGUUUCCUUCGAAUAAUCUCCCCAAGGUCCUGAACAUACUGAUUCCACAGUUGCCCGUGUUUCUUUUUACACUGCUCACUUUGCUUCCUUAAGACUCUCAAAAAGCAGUUCUUCUCAGCGUCCACACAGAGAGUGUCACGCUGCAGCAGCCUGCUGUCUUGCAGCAGGUGCUCCUGCUGGAGCCUGGCCUCUUCUAUUUUUCUGCUCAGGCUCUCCAGUGCCUCCAUUGUCUUGCUUUUUACCUCCUUCUCUAAUUCUGUCAGCCUCUCUGACUUGAAAAGUUCAUUUAGAAUAGUAAGAUACGUUGAUGGCUGAGGAGAACCUUUUGAACUCUGGGCAAACCUGGAGGAAGAACAAAGGAAAUAUUCUUUUAUCAGUUCUCUAGGCACAAGUGAGAAAAUAAUAUCUGGAAACUAAACCUUUGGGUUCCAUCAUGCCCAAGAAGGGUCAGUGCGGGUUAGAUUUUUGACAAGUUGGUACAUUCAGGAACUAUCUGGGAGGAGGAACUGAAUCGAGAAAAGGGACUCCAUCAGAUUAUCUGUAGAACAGACAGACACUCUCUCUCUCAAAGAUUUAUUUAUUUUUAUAUCUUAAGUACACUGUAGCUGUCUUCAGACACACCAGAAGAGGGCAUCAGAUCUCAUUACGGUUGGUUGUGAGGCACCAUGUGGUUGCUGGGAUUUGAACUCAGGACCUCCGGAAGAGCAGUCAGUGCUCUUAACUGCUGAGCCAUCUCUCCAGCCCCUCUGUCUCUCUUCAAAUUAAAGAUAGAUUGAUGUGGGUAGGCCCAGCCCUUGAGGGUAAGGUGACACCCCUAGGCAGGUGGUCCUUAACUGAAUACGAAAGCAGUCCAAGCAACUGAACAAUUUAUCUCUGUGGCUUCUGCUUCAGUUCCUGCCUCCAGGUUCCUGUCUUGAGCUCCUGGCCCUGACUUCUUUGGAUGAUGAACUGUGAUACAGAAGAAAAAGAUGAAAUAAACCCUUUCUCAAUGUUG